rnacentral:rRNA from 1 species
AAGCUCUGCUACACAAAUUAUGUGCUAUGGCGGACACAGAUCACGCCCCAGCUGAGAGGGGCCGGUCUCUUUGGCUAUGCGGACGGCACCAUGCAGGAACCAACUAGUCUUAUCGUCACCAAGAAUAAGGACAGCAAGAAGACUUCUGAGCCCAACCCUCUCCACCCCAUCUGGGUCGAGGACCAGCAGGUGCUCGGCUUCCUGCUCAGCAACCUUUCCAAAGAGGUGCUCGUCAUGGAGACCGCAAUC